rnacentral:rRNA from 1 species
CCUACGGGAGGCUGCAGUGGGGAAUAUUGGGCAAUGGGCGAAAGCCUGACCCAGCAACGCCGCGUGAAGGAAGAAGGCCCUCGGGUUGUAAACUUCUUUUAAGAGGGACGAAACAAAUGACGGUACCUCUUGAAUAAGCCACGGCUAACUACGUGCCAGCAGCCGCGGUAAUACGUAGGUGGCAAGCGUUAUCCGGAUUUACUGGGUGUAAAGGGCGUGUAGGCGGGAGUGCAAGUCAGAUGUGAAAAUUAUGGGCUCAACCCAUAACCUGCAUUUGAAACUGUUCUUCUUGAGUGAUGGAGAGGCAGGCGGAAUUCCGUGUGUAGCGGUGAAAUGCGUAGAUAUACGGAGGAACACCAGUGGCGAAGGCGGCCUGCUGGACAUUAACUGACGCUGAGGCGCGAAAGCGUGGGGAGCAAACAGGAUUAGAUACCCCUGUAGUC